rnacentral:rRNA from 1 species
UAGUAGCGUAUAUUAAAGUUGUUGCAGUUAAAAAGCUCGUAGUUGGAUUUCUGGCUUUGGAUCGCUCGUCCCGUCGACGUAAGUCGUAUGUGUGAUGUUGGCGUAUCCUGCCAUCCGCGCUUCUCGACCCUGCUACCCUUCAUUGGGCCGGUAGGUGUUCGGUUGCGCCAUUUACUUUGAAAAAUUAGAGUGUUUAAAGCAGGCAUUUGCUGUGAAUACAUUAGCAUGGAAUAAUAAUAUAGGACUUUUGUUCUAUUUUGUUGGUUUCCUGAACGGAAGUAAUGAUUGAUAGGGAUAGUUGGGGGUGCUAGUAUUCCACGGCCAGAGGUGAAAUUCUUGGAUUCGUGGAAGACUAAUUUAUGCGAAAGCAUUCACCAAGGAUAUCUUCUUUAAUCAAGAACGAAAGUUGGGGGAUCGAAGAUGAUUAGAUACC